rnacentral:rRNA from 1 species
AUUGAACGCUGGCGGCAGGCUUAACACAUGCAAGUCGAGCGGGGAUAGGGUGCUUGCACCUGAUUCCUAGCGGCGGACGGGUGAGUAAUGCUUGGGAAUCUGCCUAUUAGUGGGGGACAACAUUCCGAAAGGAAUGCUAAUACCGCAUACGCCCUACGGGGGAAAGCAGGGGAUCUUCGGGCCUUGCGCUAAUAGAUGAGCCUAAGUCGGAUUAGCUAGUUGGUGGGGUAAAGGCCUACCAAGGCGACGAUCUGUAGCGGGUCUGAGAGGAUGAUCCGCCACACUGGGACUGAGACACGGCCCAGACUCCUACGGGAGGCAGCAGUGGGGAAUAUUGGACAAUGGGCGGAAGCCUGAUCCAGCCAUGCCGCGUGUGUGAAGAAGGCCUUUUGGUUGUAAAGCACUUUAAGCGAGGAGGAGGCUACCUGGAUUAAUACUCUAGGAUAGUGGACGUUACUCGCAGAAUAAGCACCGGCUAACUCUGUGCCAGCCGCCGCGGUAACAC